rnacentral:rRNA from 1 species
UAGGGAAUCUUCGGCAAUGGACGGAAGUCUGACCGAGCAACGCCGCGCGAGUGAAGAAGGUUUUCGGAUCGUAAAGCUCUGUUGUAAGAGAAGAACGAGUGUGAGAGUGGAAAGUUCACACUGUGACGGUAUCUUACCAGAAAGGGACGGCUAACUACGUGCCAGCAGCCGCGGUAAUACGUAGGUCCCGAGCGUUGUCCGGAUUUAUUGGGCGUAAAGCGAGCGCAGGCGGUUAGAUAAGUCUGAAGUUAAAGGCUGUGGCUUAACCAUAGUACGCUUUGGAAACUGUUUAACUUGAGUGCAAGAGGGGAGAGUGGAAUUCCAUGUGUAGCGGUGAAAUGCGUAGAUAUAUGGAGGAACACCGGUGGCGAAAGCGGCUCUCUGGCUUGUAACUGACGCUGAGGCUCGAAAGCGUGGGGAGCAAACAGGAUUAGAUACCCUGGUAGUCCACGCCGUAAACGAUGAGUGCUAGGUGUUAGACCCUUUCCGGGGUUUAGUGCCGUAGCUAACGCAUUAAGCACUCCGCCUGGGGAGUACGACCGCAAGGUUG